UUGCCAUGUCACAUCUCUCAUCAGAGAAGGAAUAUCACAUUCCAUAUUUCUUCAUUUUACUCUUUUCUUUUUCCCACUCAUACUCCAGAUUGAAAACUUAGCUAGGUAAAGAAUUGGUCCAAAUCUUAGUUGAGUUACAGACACAUUAUUCUCAGCAAAAUAAAUCUUGAGUUUAAAUUCCAUUAUUUUGUAUAAUUUUUUAAAAUUCAAUCUUGGCAAAACAUGCAUAUUUUAUAGAUAUGACCUAUAAUUUUUCCCUGGACGUUUGUGUUUGGCAGGAGUUCACAGACUUUGCUAACAAUUUUAACAGAUAUGCUUUAAUUUAAUAACCGCAAUUUGGUAAUUAGCUGGAGUAGCAUUUCAAAGUGCAAUUGAUAUGAUUUGGCUGGAUUCAUCUGUAUUCUAGAAAAUACAGGGCAGUCAUGUACAUACUGGUGGUGUUACUCUCUUCAUAUUCAUACUUUUACCUUGGAUUCCUGAGACACAGAGUUUUUUAUAUUCUGCCGCAGUCUACUCCCAAAACAUCACUGAUGACAAUAAUAAUACUUGAAAACAAUAAUAAUACUUGAAAACAUUUCCUCUCAAGUUCCAAAGUUUUCAGUCAGUAGCAAAAAAAGAAAGAAGAAAUUUUAAAGGCGCUGAGAAAAGCCCAGGGCUCGCAGCUAGUUUCAGCAACUUCAACUUGCGUAAGACCCCAUGUUUGUGAAAACAACCCAAGAAUCUGAACAGGAUGUAAUCAACCUCCGAUCUGCGGAGAAGUACUGCAAAAAUGACUUCAGCUGCCAAAAAUAAUAACGUCGUUUACAAGCAGCUCUUCCUAUGUCUAAGGAAGAACUAGUCACACAUGCGAGUUUUUGCUGGCUUGAGAACAAGCAAGGAAAAAGACAAAUCCCACCUCCCCUAGCCUAAAAUACACAGAGUCCCAGAACCCCGUGGAAGCUGUGGCUCAUUCCUAAAGGCGCUGGCAAUAUCGAGGAAGACUUGUAUCCACAAAAUUCCAAAUGGGAGUAAACUCGAAGCCUGAAAUUUAAGCAGUUCUUUGGCGAUCAGGAGAUGGCAAACACAAGCACAAAGGCCUACAAGAAUAAUUAUCA